CGCGGGGUGGAGCAGCNNUAACCCGAAGGUCGUCGGUUCAAAUCCGGCCCCCGCAACCA
rnacentral:tRNA from 1 species